CCUACGGGUGGCAGCAGUGAGGAAUAUUGGUCAAUGGACGAAAGUCUGAACCAGCCAAGUAGCGUGAAGGAUGACUGCCCUAUGGGUUGUAAACUUCUUUUAUAAAGGAAUAAAGUGAGGCACGUGUGCCUUUUUGUAUGUACUUUAUGAAUAAGGAUCGGCUAACUCCGUGCCAGCAGCCGCGGUAAUACGGAGGAUCCGAGCGUUAUCCGGAUUUAUUGGGUUUAAAGGGAGCGUAGAUGGGUUGUUAAGUCAGUUGUGAAAGUAUGCGGCUCAACCGUAAAAUUGCAAUUGAUACUGGCAGUCUUGAGUACAGUUGAGGUAGGCGGAAUUCGUGGUGUAGCGGUGAAAUGCUUAGAUAUCACGAAGAACCCCGAUUGCGAAGGCAGCUUACUAAACUGUGACUGACAUUGAUGCUCGAAAGUGUGGGUAUCAAACAGGAUUAGAUACCCGAGGAGUC
rnacentral:rRNA from 1 species